GUGAAUCAUCGAGUCUUUGAACGCACCUUGCGCUCGUUGGUAUUCCGACGAGCAUGCCUGUUUGAGUGUCAUUAAAUUCUCAACCUCAUCGCUUCUGUGAUGAUGGCUUGGAUGUGGAGGUUUUCUGCAGGCCGAAAGGUCUGCUCCUCUCAAAUGAAUUAGUGGGUGCCCCGCGCAAACCUAUCUAUUGGUGUGAUAAUUAUCUACGCCGUGGAUCUUAGGAUUGCUGUAAAAAGGUGUUUGCCCCGCUUCUAACCGUCUUCGGACAAUCUUGAACCAUUUGACCUCAAAUCAGGUAGGACUACCCGCUGAACUUAAGCAUAUCAAUAAGCGGAGG
rnacentral:rRNA from 1 species